GCUCACUUGGUCUAACGGUUAUGACACUAGCCUGUCGCGCUGGAAACCCGGGUCCGACUCCCGGAGUGGGCG
rnacentral:tRNA from 1 species